rnacentral:rRNA from 1 species
UCCAGACUCCUACGGGAGGCAGCAGUGGGGAAUAUUGGACAAUGGGCGCAAGCCUGAUCCAGCCAUACCGCGUGGGUGAAGAAGGCCUUCGGGUUGUAAAGCCCUUUUGUUGGGAAAGAAAUCCAGCCGGCUAAUACCUGGUUGGGAUGACGGUACCCAAAGAAUAAGCACCGGCUAACUUCGUGCCAGCAGCCGCGGUAAUACGAAGGGUGCAAGCGUUACUCGGAAUUACUGGGCGUAAAGCGUGCGUAGGUGGUCGUUUAAGU